GGGGCUAUAGCUCAGCUGGGAGAGCGCUACGCUGGCAGCGUAGAGGUCACCGGUUCGAUCCCGGUUAGCUCCA
rnacentral:tRNA from 1 species